AAGAAAACAAAUGAAAGCUCUCGAAGAAAGAAGAGAGAGAGAAAUAUCAAGAAUGAUGCACAGAAAAAAGAAAGUGUUAGUACUUUUGAUUUAUUCUUAAUUUUGUUCCCUUUUUUUGUCAGUGGAUUUUUGUACAUAUAGAAGCUGAAUUGAUCAUAACAUGUUAUGUAGAAGCUGAAUUGGUGCAUUGUUGACCUGUCUUUAAUUUGAUUUUUUCCCCUCCUUAAUAUUGUUGCUUCUGUUUGGGCACCGCUCAAAGGAAUCUUAUGCUUUUGAAUCUAGAUUCAAAUAUAGUAUUAUUUGAUUACAAUAAGCUAAGGUGUCUAAUGUUCGUGAUGAGGAAAAUAUGGUGAAAAAUUUAAGGUCGAAAUUGCAAUAAGAGAACCAUGAUUUCACAUUCAUUAAAAAUAAAGAUCAAUUGAAGCCUUGAUCUUUGUUUAUGUUGGUUUCAUAGACAGACUCCAUCAUCUAUGCCAUCAAAUGAAAUGUGAAUAAUCUGUUUUUUCCUCUUUGAAAUAAGGAGUAUUUCCAAUUUUAUUAAUACUUGAAACAAUUUUGUCUUUCUCAUAUUCUUGUAUCUUUAGGGUUAAUAAUUUUACACAAGAAUCUACUCAAUUUAAUCACAUAUUUUUGUUACUCUUUGGUUUUCUCUUCAAAUAUACUAUCAUGUGUAACUUCUCAAAAUGGAUCAAUGAUCGAAUUCUAUGUUUCAUGGUGAACCUAAUUGGUUAGUUCCAAUUAAGUAAAUCAAUACUUUAGUACUAGAAACAAUGGUGUAUGUCCACAUGGGAAAAUUUGGUAUGCUGCAUUUACAGUGUUUUGUAUGAGUACAUGUGAAUGUGUGAUCAUAUUUUCUUGCCUCUAGUCUAUGUCUCCUUUUGUGAUUUUUGUUCAAUUCAGCUUUUAAUUAAACAAAGUUUUUUGUCCUUUAUUUUUUGUAUUUAGUUAAAUGGUUUAAUUGACAAUGUUUCAUGUGUGGACACUUUUUACAGGAUACAAGUCAAACUUCAGAUAAUUUUGAGGAAGUGUAGUUCUGUGUUGCCUAGUAUUCUUUAGAUUUACUGACUUAAUGGUUUGAUGUUUUUGUGAUGACUCUUCCUAAUAAAGCUGAUAAUUAGGACAAAGCUCCAAUUGAUAUAUGUUAGGUAAUUUCUUUUACCCUUUUUUGCUACAAGCCUACAUUCAUUUUUAU
rnacentral:lncRNA from 1 species